CUCUACGGCCAUGCCACCCUGAACAUGCCUGAUCUCCUCUGAUCUUGGAAGCUAAGCAGGGUUGGGCCUGGUUCGUACUCAAAUGGGAGACCACCUAGGAAUACCAGGUGCUAUAGGCG
rnacentral:rRNA from 1 species